UUAACUCAACUUUGUAUGGAGUUGAAACAUUUACCUACGUUUGCCGCUAGGGGCGCUGUUCCAACUGCAUACAAAUUUGAGCUU
rfam:Bombyx mori DNA, contig: Bm_scaf67_contig30396, strain: p50T/Dazao, build 2, whole genome shotgun sequence.